AUGUGGUCCAAGGGCAAUUAUCAAGUGGUCGGGGUUGCGGAGGAGAAUUUGAGGUUUCAGAAUAAUCUCCCACCACCACCACGAUUCAUAUCUGGAGAAGCUUUGUGGAAUCCGUGGUGUUGUCCUUCUCGUACUAUGGUUGCUGGCCUAUGGGGAAUCAGGAUGGACAUUGAGCAAAGUGGCAGCAACGGGUGGCAGGUGUUGUGGCCGAGGAGCUCCAGCACACACCCACAUGUUCACUUGUUGACCUGGCAGCUCUUCACUGAGGUUUGCUGCUUUGGUUUGGCUGGGAUGUGUGCCUCCAUGGUUGGGUCGUGUGGACUGCUGGCAAGGAUGGAGAAGCAUAGGAAGGUGUCACCAUUGCAUAGAUUCUAUUAUAGCCAUGCUAGCUGCUUGGCCAUGUCAUUUUGUUCACACAGGUGUGUCCACAACAACUCUGAUAGUGCCAUGCCGGACACGGUAUCAUUAAACAAGGACUCUUUUGGCGGACUCUUUUAUCACCUGUUUCCUGGCGCUAAGUCUGCAAACGGUUCAGCUUUGCUUCAGUCCUCUCUUGAGGCCAGAGCAGUAACAUGA
rnacentral:rRNA from 1 species